rnacentral:rRNA from 1 species
CUACGGGACUCCUACGGGAGGCAGCAGUGGGGAAUAUUGCACAAUGGGCGCAAGCCUGAUGCAGCCAUGCCGCGUGUAUGAAGAAGGCCUUCGGGUUGUAAAGUACUUUCAGCAGUGAGGAAGGUGGGUAUGUUAAUAGCAUAUUCAUUUGACGUUAGCUGCAGAAGAAGCACCGGCUAACUCCGUGCCAGCAGCCGCGGUAAUACGGAGGGUGCGAGCGUUAAUCGGAAUUACUGGGCGUAAAGCGCAUGCAGGUGGUUUGUUAAGUCAGAUGUGAAAGCCCGGGGCUCAACCUCGGAAUUGCAUUUGAAACUGGCAAACUAGAGUACUGUAGAGGGGGUAGAAUUUCAGGUGUAGCGGUGAAAUGCGUAGAGAUCUGAAGGAAUACCGGUGGCGAAGGCGGCCCCCCUGGACAGAUACUGACACUCAGAUGCGAAAGCGUGGGGAGCAAACAGGAUUAGAUACCCUGGUAG